rnacentral:rRNA from 1 species
UACGGAGGGGGCAAGCGUUGUCCGGAUUUAUUGGGCGUAAAGAGCGUGUAGGCGGCUUGGUAGGUCCGCUGUGAAAACUCGAGGCUCAACCUCGAGAUGUCGGCGGAAACCACUUGGCUAGAGUCCGGAAGAGGAGAGUGGAAUUCCCGGUGUAGCGGUGAAAUGCGCAGAUAUCGGGAAGAACACCUAUGGCGAAGGCAGCUCUCUGGGACGGUACUGACGCUGAGACGCGAAAGCGUGGGGAGCGAACAGG